GUGCUUCGGCAGCACAUAUACUAAAAUUGGAACAAUACAGAGAUUAACAUGGCCCCUGUGCAAAGGAUUACACGCAAAUUUGUGACGCAUUCCAUAUUUUG
rnacentral:snRNA from 1 species